rnacentral:rRNA from 1 species
AUUGAACGCUGGCGGCAUGCUUUACACAUGCAAGUCGAACGGCAGCACGGGCUUCGGCCUGGUGGCGAGUGGCGAACGGGUGAGUAAUGCAUCGGAACGUGCCCAUGUUGUGGGGGAUAACUACGCGAAAGCGUGGCUAAUACCGCAUACGCCCUGAGGGGGAAAGCGGGGGAUUCUUCGGAACCUCGCGCAAUUGGAGCGGCCGAUGUCAGAUUAGCUUGUUGGUGAGGUAAAGGCUCACCAAGGCGACGAUCUGUAGCGGGUCUGAGAGGAUGAUCCGCCACACUGGGACUGGGACACGGCCCAGACUCCUACGGGAGGCAGCAGUGGGGAAUUUUGGACAAUGGGGGCAACCCUGAUCCAGCCAUGCCGCGUGAGUGAAGAAGG